rnacentral:lncRNA from 1 species
UUACCACUACCAACUGUUUCUGCUCCCCAACCAAAUAAUCUAAAUGUUACACCACCUCGAACAUCUCCUGCUAGAAGUGUUUCUGACAGACAUGUUUCCGAAGGCAUUCUUGAAGGAAUAUUUGACUUUGAACAAGACAUCACCUCACUAGAAUCAUCCCGCAUUAUUCAACACUCCGUUUUUGGUCCUGACUUUGACGAGUCCAGAAUCAACAUCACCAUUAAAUAUCCCAAACUCCC